UGGGGAAUUUUGGACAAUGGGCGAAAGCCUGAUCCAGCAAUGCCGCGUGUGUGAAGAAGGCCUUCGGGUUGUAAAGCACUUUUGUCCGGAAAGAAAUCCUUGGCUCUAAUACAGUCGGGGGAUGACGGUACCGGAAGAAUAAGCACCGGCUAACUACGUGCCAGCAGCCGCGGUAAUACGUAGGGUGCAAGCGUUAAUCGGAAUUACUGGGCGUAAAGCGUGCGCAGGCGGUUUGCUAAGACCGAUGUGAAAUCCCCGGGCUCAACCUGGGAACUGCAUUGGUGACUGGCAGGCUAGAGUAUGGCAGAGGGGGGUAGAAUUCCACGUGUAGCAGUGAAAUGCGUAGAGAUGUGGAGGAAUACCGAUGGCGAAGGCAGCCCCCUGGGCCAAAUACUGACGCUCAUGCACGAAAGCGUGGGGGAGCAAAACAGGAUUAGAUACCCUGGUAGUCCACGCCCUAAACGAUGUCAACUAGUUGUUGGGGACUUCAUUUCCUUAGUAACGUAGCUAACGCGUGAAGUUGACCGCCUGGGGAGUACGGUCGCAAGAUUAAAACUCAAAUGAAUUGACGGGGUCAUAGCUGUUUCC
rnacentral:rRNA from 1 species